rnacentral:rRNA from 1 species
CUGGAGUUAGUCGAUCCUAAGGAUUACCUCAACAGAGUAAUUCGAAAGGGAAACUGGUUAAUAUUCCAGUACCUUGCAAGUUGCGUUAUUAUCUAUAUGAACCGCUUCCGGAUAGGGGGAGCAUAACCAUCGUUGUGUCUAAGCGUUCGAGAGAUGGGGAGUGUCGUAAUGACGAGAACCAUCUCGAGGCGUUAAUGGCUCUGCGUUAGCAGAGUUCUCUUGAGUCCAGGGGACCUUGAAAAUUUGUGUAGAAAGUGACUUGCAAGCUCGUACCGAGAACCGACACAGGUGCGCUGGCUUAGAAAGCUAAGGUGCUACGGGUAUACCGUAUGGUGAGGGAAUUCGGCAAAUUAGUCCUGUAGCUUAGGUAUAAGGGAUGCCUGCACACUUCAUGAGGAAUGGGGUGAGCAGGUUGCAAUGACAAGGGGGUUUCGACUGUUUAAUAAAAACACAGGCGACUGCUAGUCCGAAAGGAUUUGUAUAGUCGCUGAAUCCUGGCCGGUGCGGGUACCUAAAACUUGGGUUCAACCGAGCUAAGGGCCCGUUAACGCCGGGAGUAACUCUGACUCUCUUAAGGUAGCCAAAUGCCUUGUCGGGUAAGUUCCGACGCGCAUGAAUGGAACAACGAGAGCCCCACUGUCCCCACCUACAACCCGGUGAAGCCACAUAAGGUGGACGAACAGUCCAUCAACUUCCAUCGGGGAGAGAAGACCCCGUGGAGUUUUACUGCAGCUUGUGCUUGUAGUAUAGUAAAGAUUACAUAGUGUAUUUGGGAGCCAUGCCUCAUUUUCUUUGGGAGAUGAGUGAAGCAACGAUGUAACACCAAAUUAUUUUUGCAGUACUACUUACCCGGUGCAGACCGGGGACAUGUGCAGGUAGGCAGUUCGGCUGGGGCGGCACCCCUCUGAAAAGAUAUCAGAGGGGCCCAAAGUUUAGUUCAAACGGGUCAGAAAUCCGUUGAAGAGGGCAAAGCCAAAAACUAGACUGACUGGAUUUCCAAACGCACGGAAUUCAGAGACGAAAGUCGGGCUUAGCGAUCCUUCGUGUGCCCACUAUUGGGGCCCGAAGGUGACAGAAAAAUUACCCCAGGGAUAACAGGCUCGUCGCGGGCGAGAGCUCCUAUCGACCCCGCGGUUUGGUACCUCGAUGUCGGCUUUUCCUAUCCUGGUCCUGCAGCAGGGGCCAAGGGUGAGGCUGCUCGCCUAUUAAAAGGGAACAUGAGCUGGGUUUAGACCGUCGUGAGACAGGUCGGUCUCUGCCUGAUGGAAGCGUCGCUGUCUGAGGGGAAGUUGCUCUUAGUACGAGAGGAACAGAGCAUCGUCGCCGCUGGUGUACCGGUUGUCUGAUAAGGCAGGCCGGGCAGCUAAGCGAUUUAGGUUAAGUGCUGAAAGCAUCUAAGCACGAAGCCUAUCCCGAGACAUGACAGCGUUACGUUAGUUGAAGGUUCGCAGCAGAAGACUGCGUUGAUAGAAUGGAGGUGUAGAUCACAAGCUUCGGCGAGUGGUGAGCCUGCCAUUACUAAUAGACCAAAACAUC